AGUCGAGGGGUAGCAGGAUUAAGCUUGCUUAAUUGCUGACGACCGGCGCACGGGUGCGUAACGCGUAUGCAACCUACCUUAUACUGGGGUAUAGCCCGGAGAAAUUCGGAUUAAUCCCCCAUAGUACUAUUUAACCGCAUGGUUAGAUAGUUAAAGCAUUGCGGUAUAAGAUGGGCAUGCGUCCUAUUAGCUAGAUGGUGAGGUAACGGCUCACCAUGGCUACGAUAGGUAGGGGGCCUGAGAGGGUGGUCCCCCACACUGGUACUGAGACACGGACCAGACUCCUACGGGAGGCAGCAGUGAGGAAUAUUGGUCAAUGGGCGCAAGCCUGAACCAGCCAUGCCGCGUGCAGGAAGAAUGCCCUAUGGGUUGUAAACUGCUUUUAUUUGGGAAUAAACCUCUUUACGUGUAGAGAGCUGAAGGUACCAAAUGAAUAAGCACCGGCUAACUCCGUGCCAGCAGCCGCGGUAAUACGGAGGGUGCAAGCGUUAUCCGGAAUCAUUGGGUUUAAAGGGUCCGCAGGCGGAUUUAUAAGUCAGUGGUGAAAUCCUAUCGCUUAACGAUAGAACUGCCAUUGAUACUGUAAGUCUUGAAUUCGGUCGGAGUGGGCGGAAUGUGUAGUGUAGCGGUGAAAUGCAUAGAUAUUACACAGAACACCGAUAGCGAAGGCAGCUCACUAGGCCUGAAUUGACGCUCAGGGACGAAAGCGUGGGGAUCAAACAGGAUUAGAUACCCUGGUAGUCCACGCUGUAAACGAUGAUUACUCGUUUUCGGCGAUAUACAGUCGGAGACUAAGCGAAAGUGAUAAGUAAUCCACCUGGGGAGUACGA
rnacentral:rRNA from 1 species